rnacentral:rRNA from 1 species
UACGAAGGGGGCUAUCGUUGUUCGGAAUUACUGGGCGUAAAGCGCACGUAGGCGGACUCUUAAGUCAGGGGUGAAAUCCCGGGGCUCAACCUCGGAACUGCCUUUGAUACUGUGAGUCCCGAGACCGGAAGAGGUGAGUGGAAUUCCUAGUGUAGAGGUGAAAUUCGUAGAUAUUAGGAAGAACACCAGUGGCGAAGGCGGCUCACUGGUCCGGUUCUGACGCUGAGGUGCGAAAGCGUGGGGAGAAAACAGG